rnacentral:rRNA from 1 species
CCAGACUCCUACGGGAGGCAGCAGUGGGGAAUAUUGCACAAUGGGGGAAACCCUGAUGCAGCGACGCCGCGUGAGCGAUGAAGUAUUUCGGUAUGUAAAGCUCUAUCAGCAGGGAAGAAAAUGACGGUACCUGACUAAGAAGCCCCGGCUAACUACGUGCCAGCAGCCGCGGUAAUACGUAGGGGGCAAGCGUUAUCCGGAUUUACUGGGUGUAAAGGGAGCGUAGACGGUCCUGCAAGCCAGAUGUGAAAGCCCGGGGCUCAACCCCGGGACUGCAUUUGGAACUGUAAGGCUAGAGUGCAGGAGGGGCAGGCGGAAUUCCUGGUGUAGCGGUGAAAUGCGUAGAUAUCAGGAGGAACACCGGUGGCGAAGGCGGCCUGCUGGACUGCAACUGACGUUGAGGCCCGAAAGCGUGGGGAGCAAACAGGAUUAGAUACCCCCGUAG